UGGUGGAGUGAUUUGUCUGGUUAAUUCCGUUAACGAACGAGACCCCAGCCUGCUAAAUAGUUGCGCUAAUGAAUCUUCAUUGGUGACAGCUUCUUAGAGGGACUUCUAGCAACAAGCUAGCGGAAGAGUGGGGCCGAUAACA
rnacentral:rRNA from 1 species